ensembl:lncRNA
CGAAAUUUAAACGUCAAUAUCGCAGUCGAUCAUGUUCAUGUAAUCGGGGGCAGUCGAAAUCGUACAUCUUCUACUUGCAGGCAUUCUGACCAAGACUCAGGAAAUGCCCAACAGGUUUCUCUUGCUGUGUGUGCCUAUGAGGAGGAGAAAUCUGCUGAAGUUCUGACUUACACAACAGUGAUUAUUUACAGCAAUGCCACCAGCUCUAAUGAUGCAGUUCCAAGCAUUAAUGAUGAAGUCUCAUGUGACUAUACUUCAGUCAGUUACGCUGCUUUGUGUGGAUAGAUUAUUGGAGCGUGAUUAGGGCUCUGAGCAUGUGGCCCUGGAUCUUUACUCUUUUCA